rnacentral:sRNA from 1 species
GAUAGUCUCGAUCUCCUGACCUCGUGAUCCACACGCCUCAGCCUCCCAAAAUGCUGGGAUUACAGGCAUGAGCCACUGCGCCUGGCCAACACAUGUCUUAAUUCUAGUAUUCACCAGAUUCCUUUCGUGUUCUCCGUUGUUAGACAUCAAAUUUGUCUACUUUUUAAAUAGAAACAUUAGCUAGAGCAAGGAACUUAGAAACACUCAAGCGGCACUGAAUGUGUAGAAUUGCAUAACCAAUAUAGCUUCUUUGCUUUCACAUUUACAACUAGUUGGAGUUUUAGUUCAGCCGCACCCAGUAUCUUCCAUUCUGCUUCCAGGAAGAAAUGGAAAAAUGUCAGCCAUGAUGAUGCAGUAUUUUAGUAGCAAGUUGAUGGUGUUUUGGUUUCCCAUGGGAAAUAUUGUCACUGGAGCAUUAGCAGCUAUCGGUCACUUAUUAGGGUAAAAAAGCAACUUCAGAAGAAUUUAACAUAUGCCAAAGAAUCAACAAAGGAAGUAAUCAGCCAGGGCAAAGGUCGCACAAGAGAUUGUAAUCUAGCAAUCAGCAGUCAGCUUACCAGAAACCCAGGAAAAUGCUUCAGAAAGGGCAGUCAGGACUAAGGCAAUUUAAUGAAAUGCAAAAUAAAUGAAAUCUGAAGUUUAAAAAUCUAGAUUACAAUUCUGGUUUCUAACUCAGUUAUGAGACCUUGGGCAAAGUCAUUAAAUUUCUCUGAACUUCAGAUUUUGGGGAGUCAAUAAACCAAUACAUGUCAAAGGGCCUGAUAAACUUGACAGUUUAGACCAGGCGUGGUGUCUCACCCCUGCAAUCUCAGCACUUUGGGAGGCCAAGGCGGGUGGAUCACAUGAGGCCACGAGUUUGAGACCAGUCUGAACAACAUGGUGAAAUCCCAUCUCUAUUAAAAAUACAAAAAUUAUCUGGGCGGGAUGGCAUGCACCCGGAAGUCCCAGCUACUUGUGGGGCUGAGGUGGGAGGAUGGCUUGAGCCUGGGAGGCAGAGGUUGCUGUGAGCCAAGAUCGUGCCACUGCACUCCAACCUGUGUGACAGAGUGAGACCCUGUCUCAGAAAAAAUAAAAAACACUUUACAGUUUAUCAGCAAACAGGAAAGUCUUGCUAGACAAUGUAAUUGAUUAGUUCCGUGCCCUGGAUUCUGUGCUCUUAACUGUAUGAGCACUGUAGGUGUGAGCAGCAACAAUUAAGAAGCUGCAGAGGUAAAGGUAUAAGGGCAGUGAUUGAGGAUGUCUACCAAGCAGAUUUCAGCAAGUGUGUUUCAAGAAGUAUGCAGCAAUCUGAAAUACCUAAUCCUGAAAAAUUGCUAGAAUCUAGUCUUUUAAUUUUGGCCAGUAUUUAGCAGUAGUUUGGCCCUCUACUCUAAAUUAAUAAAAAAUAAGUAGUACUAUAUUAUGAGCUGUGUUAUCUGUUUAUCUUAGCUAGUAGCAAUUAAUUUAUAGCUUCUAUUAAAAUGACUAACGUAGUUAAAAGUUUGAUGACUAAGUUUUUUUUUUUUUGUUUUGUUUUUGAGCUGGAGUCUCACUCUGUCGCCAGGCUGGAGUGCGGUGGCGUGAUCUUGGCUCACUGCAACCUCCGCCUCCUGGUUUCCAGCAAUUCUCUGCCUCAGCCUCCCCAGCAGCUGGGAUUACAGGCACCUGCCACCGUGCCUGGCUAAUUUUUGUAUUUUUAGUAGAGAUAGGGUUUCACCAUCUUGGCCAGGCUGGUCUUGAACUUGCUGACCUCGUGAUCCACCCACCUUAGCCUCCCAAACUGCUAGGAUUACAGAUUUGAGCCACCACGCCCGGCCUUGAUGACUAAAUUUUAAGAAAUGUUUUAGCAAUUCUUCAUACACCUUUCACUUAUCUUAUAGUUACUUAAUUCCUCUACUCUUAUCAUUUGAUAUUUUCAUUUUAUUGUGUAUCUCUGUAAGGCCGAAUCAAUAGAUUUUGAACAAUCUCACACUUAACCUUUAAAAAAAAUCUAAUAGGCCCAGUUUCCUCUCAACAAUCUUUGAAGAACCUUCGAGAAAGGAGAACACAGACCUCCCGCUUCUAGACAUGCACACUGUAACCCGGGAAGAGGGAGAAGGCACGGAGACAACUGAUACGGAGUCUGUGUCUUCCGCCAGCACAUACACACAGUCUUUAGAGCAGCUGCUUAAUUCUCCCGAAACUAAACUUGGUCUGUUACUCUGUCUAAAUAUGUUCUUCUUCUUUAAUUUCACAGUCUUAUUUAAUUACUAUUACUCUAAGGUACAUAUGCUUUUUUGGGCUGCUCCAAUAAAAUUUCUUUCAAUAUUCCACUACCUGUUUGUAUUAGGGUUCUCUAGAGGGACAGGGCUAAUUGGAUGGUUGGAUGGAUGGAUGGGAUGGAUGGAUGGAUGCUUAUUAAGUAUUACCUUACACGAUCACUAGGCCAUCUGCAGACUGAGGAGCAACGAGAGCCAGUCCAAGUUCCAAAACUGAAGAACUAGGAGUGUGAUGUUCAAGGGCAGGAAGCAUCCAGCACAGGAGAAAGAUGUAGGUUGGGAGGCUAGGCCAGUCUGGCCUUUUCAGGUUUUUCUGCCUGCUUAUAUUCGCUGGCAGCUGAUUAGAUGGCACCUACCAGAUUAAGGGUGGGUCUGCCUUCCCCAGCCCACUGACUCAAAUGUUAAUCUCCUUUGGCAACACCCUCACAGACAACACUCAGGAUUAAUACUUUGCAUCCUUUAAUCCAAUCAAGUUGACACCCAGUAUUAACCAUCACACUGUCCAAAUGGAAAAAUUAUUAAACAAAUCUUUUUAAAAAUAAAAUGCUAGCUCUUGCCCUAGGCUUGAACCAUAAAUAAGUGGUGGGAAGUUUAUAGUCACAAAUAGGUGGUGGGUAUUAGACAGCAGGAUGAACUAUCCUCUCACCCUUCCAAGAAACUGACAGUUUCAGUUUAUUCCUCUUGAUGAAGUAAUGCUAAAUUUUUGUAGUGAUGUUUUGGUAUAUUUUAUUACCUGUAAUUAAUAUUACUGUUCAAAAUUUAGGGGGAAUCUGUCAUCUUCCUGAAACUUCAGAAUCACCUGGAGUAAGGGUCAUUUGUAUUCAUGGUCACUGACCACGUGGGGUAGAAACUGCAAGUCAUGGUUCCUUCAGGCAAAGUUAAUAGUGGUGACAUGGAGGCAUCAUGAUAGAGCAGCAGACUCCAGAAGCCAAUUUGACUUUGUGAUUUCUGCAAAAAUUACCUGUCAACUGUGAGCCUGUUUCAUCGUCUGUAAAGUUUGAAUAAUGAUACCUACCCCGCCUGAUAGAAGAUUCUUAUGAGGGAACAUGAUACGUGACCAGUAAAUGUUAAUGCUUUCCUUAUACGUGAAAUGACAUAAAAUCUUGGAAUAUUAAUAGAUGGGAAGAAGAUGUGUAAUAAAACUGUCUAUAAACACAAUUCUGACAAAUUUCAGAACUGGGACUCAUAGGGCUUUAUUCAGUUAGAUGACAUGCUUUACAACAGAGAUACUGUUUUAUUUGUGUCACCUAUAACAUAUAAUCUGUUGAUUGAGGUAUGCUGAAUAGAUGAAUGGCAAAGAAAGCAGACCUAUAAAAUAUCACAUAGUAAGAUAUUUAUAUUUAGAUUUUUCUUAUUUAGAAUCUUCAUCUGUAAUGUAUGAUUUUGAAAAUUAAUUCUUGGAACAACAUGUUGCAGAGCCUCCAUUAUGGCAUGCUGAAUUUACCAAAGAAGAAUUGGUUCAGAAGCUCAGUUCCACCACAAAAAGUGCAGAUCACUUAAACGGCCUGCUUCGGGAAACAGAAGCAACCAAUGCAGUCCUUAUGGAGCAAAUUAAGCUUCUCAAAAGUGAAAUAAGAAGAUUGGAAAGGAAUCAAGAGCGAGAGAAGUCUGCAGCUAACCUGGAAUACUUGAAGAACGUCUUGCUGCAGUUCAUUUUCUUGAAGCCAGGUAGUGAAAGAGAGAGACUUCUUCCUGUUAUAAAUACGAUGUUGCAGCUCAGCCCUGAAGAAAAGGGAAAACUUGCUGCGGUUGCUCAAGGUGAGGAAGAAAAUGCUUCCCGUUCUUCUGGAUGGGCAUCCUAUCUUCAUAGUUGGUCUGGACUUCGAUAGGUUGAUGGAAGGAAUAUUUUUAUUAACCAAAUAGAAUCUAUUUACAAAAAUGGUUCAUGUAUAUUACCAUCAUUCUUUUGUCAAAAAGUGUGUAUAUAUGUUUGCAUCUACAUAUAUUUGUACUAUAUGACAGAUGUAUUUUAAAAGUUUCAUCUUGAAGUAAAAGUACAACAGCUUGAAGUGUUGAUACCAGGCCACAGCUCUCUAACUCAUGUGAUCUCCCAUGCAUGCUGCCAGAAUAAAACCACCAGGAAUGAAUUCACUCCCCACUUCUCUGGAACCUCAGGACCCGCCCAUUUCUCGGCAGUACUGUGAAUUUUGAAGUUAAACUAAAUUUUGGUACCAUACCAACUGGAAUUUAGGCUUUAAAAAUAAUGUUUCAAGGCCAGGUGUGGUGAUUCAUGCCUGAAAUCCCACUACUUUGGGAGGCUGAGGCUGGAGAAUCGCUUGAGGCUAGUGAGCUGUGAUUGUACCACUGCACUCCAGCUCGGGGAACAGAGCGAGACCUUGUCUCUAAAAAUAAUAAUAGUAAUAAAAAUAACGUUUUAUGACUAUUUAUUGCAAGGUCAGAUUUACAGAUUGUUAUAAAUUGUUGAGAAACUUGUGAUUAGAAUAUGAAGGAAAAAGCUUUGUUGGUAAAAGUGACAUGUUAAGGGGCUAUGAAGUAAAUAUGCUGCAGUGAAUUAUGCUAAGUUAAAAUACAGUUUAGUUAUUUGCUUUAAAAUAAACUCUUCUUUUUUUCUUUAUACUAUCUCAAAACUCAUUAUGUUGUCAGAGCCCUAGAGCUGGCUAGUGUAACACUGACUAUGAAUAGGUGGGCCCACCACUUGAGUUGAGGUGAUUUCAUGGUGUCUUUCCAGGCUCUUGAUAGGGUGUCACUGCAUGCAAGCCAUGAAUCUGUUUUGAGAAUCCUCUCCAUUUUCCCAAAUAAAAACCUAUCCCAACAGUGACUAUAUCACUCAGCAUUGGAUCUAAAUAUAAAACUGGUGCUUUCAGUGUUUUUUGGCAGAUAGUGUUCCAUAAGCUUUCCAUCAGAAGGGAUUUUAGACACCUUAGAGGUCCGUGCUACAUCUUCACAGUUCCUCCGAAUAACCUUAGGUGGUAGUGUUACUUGCCUUUGACACCUCUGCAUAUGUUUUAAUGACUAGAUCCAAACUGUGUUGUUCUUAAAUCAAAAAUUGGAUAAUUUUUAAUAUUUAUGUGUUAAUCAUACAGUAUGCUCUCUGAAGUUCUCUUAAGCCUUCAGUUUAUACUCUUAAUUUUCUUUCUGAGCUGGGGAACUGACUUUGCACUUUGGUUACACAGAACAUUGGUUUCCAAUUUAGUUUAACUGAAAUUUGCUGCUGAUAUGUUGAGUUUGUUCUUUAAAAUAUAUCUCAUAUAUCUCGUCUUUCCUCCUGUCUUAGAAGAACAGACCUAACUAGUGAAUGUAUGAAUGAAAAUGCAUCUAUUUCAGAGCUGACAUGAAGAGUUUAGUUUUUUUACUUUAUAAACUGUGAAUAUGAGUAUGCCAGCUGCAUACGAUGUAACUAACCAUAUUUAAAUAUAUUUCACUUUCUCUUUGACUUUAGACCUUUUGAAGUCUGUAUAAACUUGUUUUGAAAUAUAGUCUCUACUUAAGAAUGUCAUAACAAAAUACUUUUUUGCAUGAUAAAAAAUUUCUUUGAUUACAAAAGGCAUAUUCUUUCAUGGUUUCUGCAAUGAGAGGAAGUGUAAUGAUUAUUUUAAUAUUUCUAUUAAAUAUGUUUAACUGUAUAUUUUUAUGGCUGCUC